GUCGCCGCCGGCGGAAAGCAACACGUUUGGCUCUGAACUUUGCAGCUCCAGUCACAAACAAACAAAUACAGCCCAGGAAGGACCUCUCCCAUCAGAUCCCAGACUGCUCGGCAGCCGCUGCCUCUCUUAUUGAAAUCACAGACAAAUACAAUGAGUAGGGACAUCAAGUGGCUAUUCAGUCGAGUCUUCUUUCAUUCUUCACCAAAUCAAGGCGUAAUUUACCAACUAGACUGAACAAAUGAAGGCAAUGUCCUGAAUAACAUCAUUCUCACAGUAAAACAUCAGUAUCAAAGCAGGGCAUUUGAACACGUAAAAGGAAAAGUGGUGUGAUUGGCACUCCUGAAGGACAGGAUGUCAUCUGGAGGGAGCUGGACAAACUUGAGAAGUAAGUCCAUGGGAACCUCAUGAGGUGUAACAAGACCAAGUGAAAGGUGCUGCAUUGGGGUUGUGACAACCUCGGUAUCAACACAGGCUGGGGGAUGAACAUAUCAAGAGCAGUCCUGCUGAGAAGGACUUGAGGGUGCUGGUGGUUGAGAAGCUGUACAUGAGCCAUCAAUUUGUGCUUGCAGCCCAGAAGGCCAAUUGUAUCCUGGGCUACAUCAAAAACUGUGUGUCCAGCAGGUCGAGGGAGGUGAUUCUGCCCCUCUACUCUACUGUGGUGAUACCCCACCUGGAGCGCUGCAUCCACCUUUGGGAUCCCCACCAUAAGAAGGACAUUGACCUCUGGGACUGAAUCCAGGGGAGAACCACCAGGAUGAUUAAAGGGAUGGAGCACCUCGCCUAUGAGGAAAGGCUGGGUUUGUUCAACCUGGAGAAGAAAAGGCUUUGGGGUGACUUAAUUGUGACCUUCCAGUACCAGAAGGGAGCCUACAAAAAAAGUGGAGAGGGACUUUUUACAAGAACAUAUAGUGACAGGACAAGGGGGAAUGGACUCAGACUGAAAGACAGUAGGUUUAGAUUAGAUAUUAGGAAGAAAUUCUUCACUGUGAUGGUGGUGAGUCAUUGGAACAGGUUGCCAAUAGAAUUUGUGGAGCAUUGGAUUGGAUGGUUGGAUGGAGCUGUGGUUGACCUGGUUUGGUGGAAGGUGUCCCUGACCAUGGCAGUGGCAUUUGGAACUAGAUGAUCUUUAAGAUCCCUUCCUAUCCAGACCUUUUUCAUGAUUCUGUGAUGAUUCUAUGAAUCAGUGAAGCAAGUUCUAAGUUCCCCUGAUUAUCUUGAAAUAUGUUUGAGGUGAAUAUCACAUGUCUCUUGUAGCAAUUAAGACAAGUCGAUUUGGUUCCUGAGGCAGAAAGUUUUGUGUAAAAUUAUAUUUAUAUCGGAUGCGCUCAGAUGAAAUAUUUUGUUUUGCAGAGAGGAAAAAAUAUGAAAGAAAGUCACUUUCUACAUGAUGCUCUUUCUACUGAAUCUUACCUUCCUGAGUAACAUUUGACUUCCUAGGCAUUUCACAUUUUUUUAAACAAUUACAUUAAUAGACACUAAAACCCAGUGCAACUACAACUAGGUCUUUUUGGCAAGCUGUUUACUUCACCUUUCUUUUAUAGAUCUAGUCUAUAAGAUAAUUUUUGAUUCAUCCAUUGUUUAUAUGAAACUUUCAUUUACAUAUUAAUAUUACAUAUUACAUAUUAAAAAUAUGGAUUAUAUACUGAACUAUAAAAAUUAAAACUAUAAAAUAUCCCAAUAUGUUGUUUUCACAGCUACCUGUGUGCGUCGAUAAUACAGUUUAAUUACUUGUGAUCUGGCUUAUUAUUGUUUGCUUACUCAUAGAUUUACUUUACUUCUUUUUCAGUAAUAUCAAAAAAGGAUUUUGCUGUCUAGUAGAAUCAAAGCCAACCUUCCUACUGCUAUUUUGAAAGCUAUUAAUAUUUCUGACUACAUCAAUAUAUCUUGUUAUUACUAUUUGUAUACAGAAAUGAAAGCAUAUAUAACCCACAGAUUAAGAAUUAUUCUGGUGUUCUACUUUAAGCCCAGCCAGCAAAUAAGCACCACCAUCCACUCACGCAUUCCCUGCCAGUGGGAUGGGGGAGAGAACUGAAAGGAUAGAAGUGAAAAAACAGUUUAACAGGUAAAAGAAAACCACAUAUGCCUUUGCCAUGUCAUGUCAUACUUUUGUUAUAGCUACGUCUUGGUAGACUAAGUGCACCUUCCAGUACACUUACCUUGUUAUGACUUGCCUUGUCUUUAGCUUAGUGGUGAAUUAUGUAUAAUAGGUGGUAGUAGCUUGUGAGUAGGGUGACGGACGAUAUGUGCAUGCUCCAGGGCCAACUUAAAGGAGGCAUGAUUGUCCUACUUUACUGCUAAAUCCGCCUUUUAGGAAUGGUUUCAUAUUCCUUGUCGUGUGAUUUUCUAUGUUAGAAAAUGUAGCCCAUUUCUUCCACUUCAUGAGCUAUACCUUGACCUGUCUUGCUAGCGGAGAGGGACUAUUAUGCUCACUGUUGGGCCCUCAGGUUAGGGGUGAGCUGGGGACGGCGGUAUAUAGGCUGAUUUGGCAAGAGGUUGUUGGGUGUAUUGUGGGUUAUCGAUUAUAGAACAGGCUCCUCUAGGUGGGUUUGGAGCACCGCCAAGUCCUUAGAGUUUUAAGCAUUUGUGCUCGUAGUUCCCGGGUGGAUGUUUGGGUAGAAGAAACAUCAGGAUUUAGGGCGAGGCAUAGUGGGGUAUCUAAUCCCAGUUUGUGCCCUGGCUUUUGUGGAGUUUUAUUAAUCGUGUGGCUAAGAUCAUUUUGAUAAAAAGUGUUAGGUGCAUCUUGUGCUUAUAACAGCUUAGCUGCAUUUCAAUCUUAGUUGAAUUGAUAAUGAAGAACCACUCUUUAUGCCGCGUAAGGUUAAUUUGGGUUUCUUGUAUGACUGCGGUGGCUGGCACAAGAUUUACCAACCCUAGUGAGUUGCUUUAACUAAGUCAAGUUUACACUUAUUGCUUAAUGUCAAGUUGGUGAGAUUGGUGGAUAGGUUUAGUUAUAUUGGGUUGGGAGUUUGUUUAAAGAUGGGUUCUUAUAGUUGAAUUUAAAACAGUGGUUUUUCAAACCAUAGGUCUUGGAGAGAGGCCAAGUAAGAAUUUUAUGACAUAUUUUAUGGUUUUUUUAAGUAUCUGUUUUAUUUUAGGUGGAUUGGC